CCUACGGGAGGCAGCAGUAAGGAAUACUGGACAAUGGACGCAAGUCUGAUCCAGCCAUGCCGCGUGAAGGAUUAAGGCCCUCUGGGUUGUAAACUUCUUUUAUAGGGGACGAAAAAAGGGCUUUCUAGCUCGUCUGACGGUACCCUAUGAAUAAGCACCGGCUAACUCCGUGCCAGCAGCCGCGGUAAUACGGAGGGUGCAAGCGUUAUCCGGAUUCACUGGGUUUAAAGGGUGCGUAGGCGGGCAGUUAAGUCAGUGGUGAAAUCUUCGAGCUCAACUCGGAAACUGCCAUUGAUACUAUCUGUCUUGAAUACUGUGGAGGUGAGCGGAAUAUGUCAUGUAGCGGUGAAAUGCUUAGAUAUGACAUAGAACACCGAUUGCGAAGGCAGCUCGCUACACAAAUAUUGACGCUGAGGCACGAAAGCGUGGGGAUCAAACAGGAUUAGAUACCCUGGUAGUCCACGCCCUAAACUAUGGAUACUCGACAUUUGCGAUACACAGUAAAGUGUCUGAGCGAAAGCAUUAAGUAUCCCACCUGGAAGUACGACCGCAAGGUCGAAACUUAACAAAGUAGUAAGUUAGGACGGCGUAGACGACGUUCGACCGGAGGACCACACGGGAGGGGAGGUAGGG
rnacentral:rRNA from 1 species